UUGGUUCUCUCCGGUUUAUAUCGUUUAUGCAUUGGACAUUCUGUGUGAAUAAUGGCAUGGAUCAUUCACCCAUAAUUGAAAGUUGCAUGAGUAUGCACCUUGGAGGAGUUAUUACCUCCUCUGGCACAGAGUUGAUCAGAUGGAGUUUUCUUAUAGGCCUGAUGCAAACAUUUGGUUCAAGUACAUUUAAGGAUCAUAAUCAUGAAAGAGCUGCUCAAUUGCUUGCACAACCAUAUUAAUGGAAUAUCUGGAGCUUACGUGCAAUUUAGUAUCUGGCAAGAAAUGGAGAUUUGAUUGCAAAUUUAUAUCUUCUCUUCACCCUUAAUAAAAUUAUGCUUAUUAGAGAAAAAAAAAAUUAAACACCACAGAAAAGGCUUGUUGGUAGCAAGCAGUUUCAUGCUUGAAAGCAUUCUUCUGUCAUAGGGUUGUUUCUAUUUUCAUCAACUGCAAAAUUGUUUGGACAUGAUCCUAGGCCGAGUCAAGUCGCAUACAAAAAAGCAGAUAACUAUGAACAGAGUUGGAAAACAACUGAAAUCUAUCAUUGUGGGACAUGGAAGAAGCUUCCUCUACUUGGAUUUGGACAUUGAGUAUGAUUUGGAAGUAAAAUAUAAAGAAUUUAUAUUU